CCAGCUCCCACUCACGAGUGCGGCCCAACAAUCACCUUAUGAACAUAACAAGAGAUACCUUUGUUGCUCUCAUCAUUGAAAAUUUCUCAAGGAUUAUAGGAGCUCUGUGCCGGAAACGGGGAUGAAGAGUAAAUAGAUAUUCCUUAUUCUACGUCACAACAUCGCUGUGACGGGAUCUCUUUUGUUACCAGGGGAAGCCCCGACUGGUCUAAGGAAGGCAGGAGCACAAAGAACUGAGGCCAGCCAUUCCAGCUGAGGACCACUAGAUCAACCUGCUGUGAGCUGACAGAGACCACCAAAGUCCCUCCAAGUGAGUCCGGUACAAGGUGAGAAACACCUGAUUGAGCCCAGCCUCCACCUACACAGCCUACACGGAAAACCUACAGAAUUAUGUGUAACUAAAAUAAGCAUGGUUUAAAGUCAUUGAAAUUUGGGGUGGUUUUUCCCAGAGCAACCGAUAACUGAAAUAUAUGCACACCAAUUGCUGGUUGCAACUCUUCCACUGGCCUACUGGAACCCCGAGGAAGUCACCUGGAAGUAUGUCUCCCAGUUUUCUCGGCUGUAAAAUAAAGUAGCCGAGCAGACAGCUGGGAGAGGCCACACACGUGUCUAGUUUUCUUCCAACUCUGAUACGCUAUGAUGACAUGAAAGGAAGUUUGACUUUUUUUUUCUCAGUUGUUUACCCUGUAAAGUUUUUCAAAGAUCUCUUUUUCCUUUCCGAAGAAUCUUGGACGACUGUUUCUAAAUAUCUCAUUAGGAUAGCGGACAUCUCCUGUCAAUGAACUGACCAAGAAGUUCAAAGAACUCUCAGAGCCGAAAGCCACGUCAAGACUAACGGUAUCUGCUCUGGUGUUGACAUCACUGUGGCCGACUGCAUGGAAGGGCUAGCUUUGAAAACCUGAAUGAUUUUGCCUUGAAUACCAGCCUGGUGGUUCUGUGAUUCUGAGAAAGUCACUCAAUAUGUGGUUGUUGGCCAGAAGAUGCAUAUAAACGUAUAAGGGUAUCUUCCUCUGAGUUGGCAUUCAGGGAAAGACAAAUAACGAUGGUGAGACAUCAUCCCUCGGCCAUUCACAUAGUAAAAGUUGAGAAGUGGAAAAUCCCUUGGUCAGGAGGUUGCGUAUCCAGAGAGUGUCUAAAAAAUACUAAAAAGUCUGGAAAUAUCUCAAAUUCUCAUCGACACAAGAAUGGAUACAUGACAUAAUGUAUAGUCAAGAUAGUGUUAAAACUUGAAAUUAACAAGCCGCAGCUCCAUCGAUAGUGUGAACAAAACAUAGAUGCAUAGCUUUCAAUCAAAAGGUGGAUCCCAAACAGACAGCAUUAAGGCCUUUUCAAAAUAAUGAUGGACAAACAGCCCAAUGCUAAGCGUACUUUGUUUUGGAAUACAUAUAGAUGCCGAAAAAGGCGAAGCAAGGGAAUCGUGUGCACGUAAUUUGGAAUAGUGGUUCUGCUGGAUGGGGGCAGGAGGCACAGAGGAUGAAGAAACGUCACAUAGAGGCAUCUACAUUUUUACCUUGGUAUUAAGUUGGGCAUAAAGCUUUUAAUGGUGUUUACUAUUCACAGAGAAUGAAGAAAAAAAGACCUUGACUGGACCCGUAAAGGGAGUGUCAUAUAUCAAGGAUUAUAACUAAUUCAUUUUUGUGCACUUGACCUUGAACCCGUGAGAAAAACAUGUUAAGGACAUGAAACUCUGUAGUCUCCUAGUGUUAAGUGUAAAAAACGCACCAAACUAUAUAUUCAACGGGACUCCAAGGACCUAUCAUGGUAAACAACAGCAGGGGGAGAGGAGCAAAUGUGAGCCUCUAGAUCAUUUCCCCAUUUGCUCUCAGACACUAUCUGAAAUCUUCUGAUAAAUAAAAUGGCUUCUAGAUGAAUGAG